GUUUUCUUUGUGUGUUCCGGAGUAUGUUCAAUUCACCCUUCGCUAAGCCACACCCGAAAACCGCCACAGGCCAAUUGUGGCUUAGCAACCCGUCACUAGGCACGGGAGGUCUGACAAACUUUUCGAGUUUUGCCACGUUAACCUGUGGAGACUGAAGGCCUGUGGGUCAUGAAGGCCACUUAUUUGGAUGUGUGGUGCCCUAACCCAUGUAAAGACAGUGAAAUAGCAUGUUACACUAUAGAAACAUGAUAUAAUUGGGAACACAUAUUGUUCUAACUAUAAAAAAUGGCAUAUUGCAUGAUAUUUCCAUAACUGCGAGAUACACGCUUCACGAUAACGGCAAGAAGUUGUUAACAGACGUUCACCAAGAUGUAUAGCCCAUCAGCAAUCUAUU